rnacentral:rRNA from 1 species
GGUCAGGAUGAACGCUGGCGGCGUGCCUAACACAUGCAAGUCGAACGAAGCAUACGGACUGGAGAUUCGUCGAAGGACCGUAUGACUUAGUGGCGGACGGGUGAGUAAUGUAUGAGCAACCUGCCUUUCAGAGGGGGACAACAGUUGGAAACGACUGCUAAUACCGCGUAACGUAUCGUGGGGGCAUCCUCGUGAUACCAAAGGAGCAAUCCGCUGAAAGAUGGGCUCAUAUCUGAUUAGCUUGUUGGCGGGGUAACGGCCCACCAAGGCGACGAUCAGUAGCCGGACUGAGAGGUUGAACGGCCACAUUGGGACUGAGAUACGGCCCAGACUCCUACGGGAGGCAGCAGUGGGGAAUAUUGGGCAAUGGGCGAAAGCCUCGACCCAGCAACGCCGCGUGAAGGAAGAAGGUCUUCGGGUUGUAAACUUCUUUAUGAGGAACGAAGGACGUGACGGUACCUCAUGAAUAAGCCACGGCUAACUACGUGCCAGCCGCUGC